rfam:Stegodyphus mimosarum contig117994, whole genome shotgun sequence.
GCCUUUGUGGUGUAGAGGUCAGCACACUCGACGCGUAUUCGAGAGGUCCGAGGUUCGAGUCCUGGCGAGGGCA